UACGAAGGGUGCGAGCGUUAAUCGGAAUUACUGGGCGUAAAGCGUGCGCAGGCGGUCUGCUAAGACAGGUGUGAAAUCCCUGGGCUCAACCUAGGAAUUGCGCUUGUGACUGGCGGGCUAGAGUACGGUAGAGGGGGGUGGAAUUCCUGGUGUAGCAGUGAAAUACGUAGAGAUCAGGAGGAAAACCGAUGGCGAAGGCAGCCCCCUGAGCCUGUACUGACGCUCAGGCACGAAAGCGUGGGGAGCAAACAGG
rnacentral:rRNA from 1 species